rnacentral:Y_RNA from 1 species
GGGCAGGAAAAGGUGUGAGAGACCUUAUUCCUUUGGUCUCAAAUGCCUUCAGCCUAAAAAAUAUUCAAGGCUGGUUUAUAGCUUAUCACAACCAGUUACAAAUUUAUUUGUUCCUUCUCCAUUCCCACUGCUUCACUUGACUGCCCUUAA